CUGCUUCCAUGUCCUUAAGGUGACAAAGCAUAUGAGGACUUUGCAAGUACUUGGAGUAAAGGAAGAGAAGAGAAUUCACAGAGUGAAAAGAGGAGAAAGAGUGCUCUAAAAUAUCACCAAUGGACUGCAACAUGGAAGUUAGAGACAAGGUCAUCAGCCAAGACUGGGGAGAAAGGGAGAUGAAAAAGCCUGGAGAAAGUUUAACUCAUCUAAGAGGCUGUUAAGUGAAUCAACAAAAGAUGCCAUUUUCUAUUAAGUCAUCUAUUUUAUUAAAGAGUUAAAUGCAACUGUUGCUGUAUAUCAUGAAUUUAUGAAAGAUUUAGGAGUGGGAGUUCUUUUUUUCUCAAAAAAAAUG
rnacentral:lncRNA from 1 species